CCCGCACAAGCGGUGGAGCAUGUGGUUUAAUUCGACGCAACGCGAAGAACCUUACCAGGGCUUGACAUCCCCUGACCGCGUAUGAAAGUACGAAUUCACCUUCGGGUGACAGGGAGACAGGUGGUGCAUGGUUGUCGUCAGCUCGUGUCGUGAGAUGUUGGGUUAAGUCCCGCAACGAGCGCAACCCCUACGUUUAGUUGCUAACGCGUGAAGGCGAGCACUCUAGACGAACUGCCGUUGACAAAACGGAGGAAGGUGGGAUGACGUCAAAUCAUCAUGCCCCUUAUGUUCUGGGCUACACACGUGCUACAAUGGCCGGUACAGACGGACGCAAAGCCGCGAGGUGGAGCAAAUCCUAAAAAGCCGGUCUCAGUUCGGAUUGCAGGCUGCAAUUCGCCUGCAUGAAGUCGGAAUCGCUAGUAAUCGCAGGUCAGCAUACUGCGGUGAAUACGUUCCCGGGCCUU
rnacentral:rRNA from 1 species